AUGAAUCCCUCAGCCUCAACUUUCUCACCUUUUUCCUCUUUCAUCCUCCCCUCUUCAUCACUCUCUCCUCUGUUCCCUCUCUUCUCCUCUCCUCUGAUCCCUCUCUUCUCCUCUCCUCUGUUCCCUCUCUUCUCCUCUCCUCUGUUCCCUCUCUACUCUCCUCUCCUCUUUUCCCUCUCUACUCUCUGUUCCCUCUCUUCUCCUCUCCUCUCCUCUGAUCCCUCUCUCCUCUCCUCUUUUCCCUCUCUAGUCUCCUCUGUUCCCUCUCUUCUCCUCUCUGUUCCCUCUCUUCUCCUCUCCUCUUUUCCCUCUCUAGUCUCCUCUGUUCCCUCUCUUCUCCUCUCCUCUUUUCCCUCUCUAGUCUCCUCUGUUCCCUCUCUUCUCUUCUCCUCUGUUCCCUCUCUUCUCCUCUCCUCUUUUCACUCUCUAGUCUCCUCUGUUCCCUCUCUUCUCUUCUCCUCUGUUCCCUCUCUUCUCCUCUCCUCUGUUCCCUCUCUUCUCCUCUCCUCUUUUCCCUCUCUAGUCUCCUCGGUUCCCUCUCUUCUCCUCUCCUCUGUUCCCUCUCUUCUCCUCUCCUCUUUUCCCUCUCUAGUCUCCUCUGUUCCCUCUCUUCUCCUCUCCUCUGUUCCCUCUCUUCUCCUCUCCUCUUUUCCCUCUCUAGUCUCCUCGGUUCCCUCUCUUCUCCUCUCCUCUGUUCCCUCUCUUCUCCUCUCCUCUUUUCCCUCUCUAGUCUCCUCUGUUCCCUCUCUUCUCCUCUCCUCUAUUCCCUCUCUUCUCCUCUCCUCUGUUCCCUCUCUUCUCCUCUCCUCUUUUCCCUUCUCUCUCUCCUCUGUUCCCUCUCUUCUCCUCUCCUCUUUUCCCUCUCUAGUCUCCUCUGUUCCCUCUCUUCUCCUCUCCUCUGUUCCCUCUCUUCUCCUCUCCUCUGUUCCCUCUCUUCUCCUCUCCUCUGUUCCCUCUCUUCUCCUCUCCUCUUUUCCCUCUCUAGUCUCCUCUGUUCCCUCUCUUCUCUUCUCCUCUGUUCCCUCUCUUCUCCUCUCCUCUGUUCCCUGUCUUCUCCUCUCCAUUGUUCCCUGUCUUCUCCUCUCCUCUUUUCCCUCUCUAGUCUCCUCUAUUCCCUCUCUUCUACUCUCCUCUGUUCCCUCUCUAGUCUCCUCUAUUCCCUCUCUUCUACUCUCCUCUGUUCCUUCUCUUCUCCUCUCCUCUGUUCCCUCUCUUCUCCUCUCCUCUGUUCCCUCUCUUCUCAUCUCCUCCAUUCCCUCUCUUCUCCUGUCCUCUGUUCCCUCUCUACUCUCCUCUGAUCCCUCUCUUCUCUUCUCCUCUUUUCCCUCUCUAGUCUCCUCUGUUCCCUCUCUUCUCCUCUCCUCUUUUCCCUCUCUAGUCUCCUCUGUUCCCUCUCUUCUCCUCUCCUCAGUUCCCUCUCUUCUCCUCUCCUCAGUUCCCUCUCUUCUCCUCUCCUCUGUUCCCUCUCUUCUCCUCUCCUCUGUUCCCUCUCUUCUCCUCUCCUCUUUUCCCUCUCUAGUCUCCUCGGUCCCCUCUCUUCUCCUGUCCUCGGUUCCCUCUCUUCUCUUCUCCUCUGUUCCCUCUCCUCUCCUCUCCUCGGUUCCCUCUCAGAGAUAG
rnacentral:lncRNA from 8 species